CCAUCCAUCCAUCCAUCCAUCCAUCCAUCCAUCACAGCCCCGCUGGUCGCACAAAUCGCUGCAGCCCCGAACGCCUCGUUCUCCACUGGCCUCAGAACUCCCCGGCAGGGCAGCCGAGCAGGCCCCGCUCUCAGACAGGGCGGCGGGCAGGGGGACAGAGCCCGGACAGAGCCGGGGACAGAGCCCGGACAGAGCCGGGGACAGAGCCCGGACAGAGCCGGGCCCAGCCGCCGCAGUGCCGUGUGCCCGGCUCGGCUGAGGGGGAGCUGCUGCAGCCGCUGCCGUCCGGACAGGGCCGGGCCGGGCUGUGGGCUCUGCAGAGCACAGGUCCGCUCCCUCGGCCGGACCCAGCUCACGGGGAGAUCACGAGCAAGAGAAGGGAAGGUGCCGGCCCUCACAACCCGGCUGGUGGGCGGCAGAGCCGAGAGAAGCUUUUCCUUCCCUGUUGUUGACAGCGGGACUAAACCAGCCCGAGUUCCUUGUGCAGCACAAACGAACCAUUACAGUGUGCAGAAGCUUUUUCUUUAGGCUGCGAAGUGCUUCCCUAGUGUUCCCCAAGCUCUUAGAAAUUAUUGCCAUGAAUGCUCCAGUGCCUUCCCCCAUUAUCUUUGCAAUCCUGCUUCUUCCUCACAAAAAGGCAAAAAGCACAGCACAUAAGCACUGUACCACUUCAACCACGCUGGGGAGGAAAACGAUACAGGCAAAGAGGUAUCAGCUCAUCUACUGCAGAGAAGCUACUAGCAGGUUUUGCUGCUCUCCAAGUUCGUUCAUCCAGCCUACAGAGGUACUUCGGGACUCCAGCAGUGACCAGGAGGAGUUGCAUUGGGAACAGUGUAAUGCAUGUGUGCAGUGGGACCUCUCUGGUUUCUCUGCCAGCCUCCAACACUACAGUUCAGGGACUUCCAGAGCCAAAGGCAGCCUCUGCAGUACAGGUUUCCAUACCGCAGUGUGUAUAGAUAAAAUUCCAGGCUGAUAGUACCAAGGCAGAUUAAAUUACAAAGUUAGUUACUUCUGUGACAAAACAGUAAUCAACACUAGCACAAACAACAUGUUAGAAAGUGCAAAUUUACCACCAGAAAGCUACAGCUUUCAGUGGGAGACAUAAAAAAGCAUUUCCAUUCUGAAGCACUUCUGUGAGGGCUUUUAAAUCAAUCCUAGGAGCUGAAAUUCUCUGGAAUGAGAUUUUGCCAUUCACAAGGCCUCUGCUUUAGAGUGACCUUUAUGUUUGGCUAUUUUUCCCUUCUGUAAGUAUAAACACUGUAGCUGAGAGGGAAAACAUCAGAGGAAAAUUAGAAUAUUUUGGAACAGUGACAGCAAAGAGGGAACAUUUCCCCAUGCUAAGCUCUAGGUUUCCACAACAACAUCAGUACUGCUCCUGAUGCCCCUCUCCAAGCCAACUAGUUUAAAGGUGUAUGAUCGGGGUACUGGCCAGAGAAAUGCACUACUCUGAACACUUUAAUUUCAGCUUAACAUUUUAAAGGGAGAAAACCAUACAAUACUUUUUUAGAUGGUUUUACUAAGUGAGAAAAAAAAUAAUUUAAAAUGAAACAGAUCUGUUACAGACACCGAUUCCUCCUUUUCAAGAACAUCCAGCAGCUCAGCAAGGGAAGUGUGUGUUGAGAGCUAGCAAGGUGUAUGUGAAGGAGGGAGCACUCAGCUCUAGCUAUGCCAGGCAGUCAGGUGCUGCACUCAACCUUUCUGGCUGAGAAAUGCAAAGUUAGCCCCAGAAACACCAGCAGAUUUUUAAGAAAUCUGGAUAAAUUGAGCUAGCAAUACUGGAAACGUCACAUUUUCAGGGACUUUUCAGGUCAAGGCUAAAGUUAGUUCUCAGCUCUCACCCAGAUUCUACCACAUGCAGUAAAAUAACCCACCAAGAAAAACCCAGGGGUGAACCACUGCUGAUGUUACUGAGAGGCUGCACACAGUGUCUGUCAGAGCAUCCCCCGCAGGAGGCAGGAGGAGAAUUUUGCUCC
rnacentral:lncRNA from 1 species